AAAAGCGAACAAGAUUUUACCUUUUAAGAAAUAAUUACAAGUUGAAUAAAAUUGUACUUAUAAUGCAAGGCAACUUUAUGUUUAGGACUUUUAAAAAUACAAUUAUAAAAAUGAGCAGCAUGGUGCACAAAGCAACCCGCGUUAAUAGGGUCUAGGCUAGGAUUGCAUUCCAAGGAGUGUGAUAUUAACAACCUACCCUAGUGUAGGCAUUAGUAAUUGUUUCCACUAAUUUUGACAAGUCUUUCUUAGUUUGGUGGCAUAACAAUUCCUUAACGACUAGUUACAAAUAAAUUAACACAUUUGUGAGGUGAUAUCAGUUCAUUGAUGUCAAUUUAUUAAUGCCAAAAUAAGCCAAUAAUGAAUUACAAUACGAUUUUGUAGUGGUAAAUUGCUUAAAAGAAUAACUAUACUAUAUCUUAAUCUACUAUACAAUUUUGUAUGACAAUGCGUCUUCGUAAUGCUAAUAUUUAUUUAAUCUGUUAAUAAUAUAGUAAUACAAAUUGUAAUGAUUAACAUGAAAUACACAUAACGCAUGCAUUUAAGUGCUUAUGUAAACCGUUCAUCAAAUGCUAUUUCUAAGAUGUUUUUGUUGAAGCAAGUAUAAGAACAUACCGAAAGAAGUUUCACUAAAGCAAAUCUAACUUUUAAAAAUGAUAAUAUAUCCGUUUGAAAUUUAUGAUUCUCUUUUUUAGUUAUUAUAUUGUACACAAAUACAUCUUGUAAAUGUUAGGUAUUUUAUUUUUAAAAUUUUAUUCUUAUUAAUAUAUGAGGGAAGCACGUGAUGCACAUACAUUAAUACUAGUUUGAAAAAAAAGUAAAACAUCAAAAAAGUUAGUUAAUUGAUUCCAAAUUUGCAAUAUUGCAUCCUCAAAAUAUGCAACUAACACAUGACUUCUAUUUUAUUUCAGAGGAACAAAUGUGACUAGAUCAGGAUCUGUUCAAGACCUUUUCAGCGGUUAAUAGCCAAUGUAUCGCUUUUGAUCGGUUUGUUGGUUGGGGGCAUUGAUAAAGUAGGGAUAAUCCAUUAGGGUUUAAGGAGAGAAUUUGAAGAGGUAAAAGGAAGAAAGACAGAAUGAAUGAGGGGAAGUGUGUUCCUCGGAUAUAAUAAAAUAGAAGUCAUGUGUUGUUUGUAGUUUGGUUGUUCUCGAAAAAAAUAUCUGCAAACAACACAUUACUUUUAGUUAUUUUAGUGGAACACAUGUUUGUAAUUUUUUUUCUCAAAAAGAAAAAAAUGCUAACAUGUGACUUCUAUUUUAUUAUAGAGGAACAUACUUCUUCUUACUCAUUUUGCCUUUCUUCCUUUUUCCCUUCAUAUCUCUCCUAAAACCCUAAUGGUUUAUCCCUACUUCAUCAAUGACCCCCUAACAAGCCGAUACAUUGGCUAUUAACCUCCAAAAAACUCUUAAAAAAUCGUGAUCUAAUGACAUUUGUUCUUUGGAGAUAAAAUAAAGUCAUGUGUUAUUUGCAGAUUUUAAGGAUGCAAUAUUGCACAUUUGGAAUCAAUUCAUUAACCUUUUUCAGUUUUCUUCUUCUUUUUAACUAGUCUAAAUAUAUGCACGAUCCCCUCGUAAUUAAUAAGAGUAGACUUUUAAAAAUAAAUAAUAUUUAACAGAUGUUUUGUGUACAAUAUAAGAAUUUAAAAAGAGAAUUAUAAAUUUCUAAUUAAUAAGUGAUUAUAUUUAAGAGUUCGAUCUGGUUUAGUGGUUCUUCUUUCAGUAUGUUCUAAUACUUGCUUCAACAAAUGUAUCAUACAAAUAACAUUUGAUUGUGUAAAUAUGGAUCUUAGGCUUAACUCAACCCCUAAAGCUAGCUAGCUCACGAGGAGAGGUUUGUCCAAAUCCAUAAAAGGAUACCAAAUUUCCAUUCCUUUAAUGAUGUAUGAAUUCUUAACACUUUCCUGCACGCCCAAACCUCGUUAUAUGGAGUGUGGACACUAUAAUAUGGAGGCCCAACAUUGGUGAACAAAGAAUUGGAAUGUGCUUGGCUCUGAUACCAUGUAAAGAUGGAUCUUGGGCCUAACUCAACCCAAAAACUAGCUAAUGAAUGGAAGUUUGUCCAAGUCAUAUGAGAAUACCAAAUUCCCAUCCCUUUUUCGAUGUGGAAUUUCUUAACAGAUUGAAAGGUAGAAAAGUCUUUCACUUUUACAUAAACACAUACAUGCAUUAUAUUUGUAUUUUUCGUUAAUUAUUACGAAAUUUGUAUCACUAUUAUUAACAAUUAAAAUUUCCAACUCCAACUUGGAGUUUUUUUUUUUGGGAGAUAAAGGUAACUGUGUAUUCAGAAAAGGCUCAUCAUCAAAGAAAUGAUGAGCAUAGGUCACUUACAAAUCUCGCCAGAGCAUAUCAAACUACCCUAUGGGAGAUUACAACUCACCUAUAAAGUCAGCAAAAAGUUUUAUAUCCCCCAUCAUAUCUUGUUUACACCAAAAGUACAAAAGACUAAGACAGUUCAUUCUAAUUUUCUGGAUGUUGUUUUUCUUAUCCACAAAGCAUCUUCCAUUCCUUUCUUUCCAUAGGGACCACCAGAUGCAGGCUGAGAUUAAUUCCCACCAAUUUCAUUAGACUCCCUUCUUCUUAUCAUCUUCCAGCUGUAGAGCAAGUCCUUAAUGGACUUUGGAAUUACCCAACAUACACCAAGAAGACCAAGAAACAUGUUCCACAAGCUUGUAGCUACUUUGCAAUGAAGGAAUAAAUGACUAUUAACUUCUGCAUCUUCAUCACACACAAAGCAUCUUGAGCAUAAUUGUCUGCCUUUCUUUUGAAGCACUUCAUGUGUUAAGCAGGCCCUUUUGCACACUAACCAAGCAAAACAUGAGUCUUCAAUGGUAUUUUUUUCUUCCAUGUUAACUUCCAUGGCCAGUUCCUGACCUGUGUUUGGCCAAUAUUGUAUCUGCAGUACCAUGACUUUACUGUAAACACACCUUUGCUUUGCCAUCUCCAAAUAGGCUUAUCAGAUUCAGUAAAGGUGCCUGGGAAGGCAUUGAGGAUCUGAAAAAGAUUGACGACCCUCUCGAUUUCCCAAUCAUUGAAAGCUUUCCUGAAUAUGAGAUUCCAACCUUGACGGCUCCAUAGCUGUGAGAUUGUGACCUUGUUUUGAGUGGUGAGCAUAAACAGGUCUGGGAAGAGUGAUUGCAGGCUUUCAUCCCCAAUACAAUGUUCAUUCCAAAAAUCAAUUUUCCUACCAUUUCCCACCUCUAGUGAGAUGUUGCCUUUGAAUUAGGCCAUAAUCUUCUAAUAGUCUUCCACACACUGCAUCCAAAAGUUCCAAGAGCCUCCUCAGUAAUCCAAUGGCUUUGUAGUCGAUACUUCAUUGUGAUGACUCUUUUCCAGUGCGACUGAUCUUCAAUGCAGAAUCUUCACAACUAUUUUUGAAGGAGACAAUUGGUUGGAUGAUUGAGCUUUUUUAUUCCCAACCCCUCCCUUGUUUCCUGCUAAGAGUAAGAGUAUCCCACUUAACUAGGUGGUAACUUUUGUGCUCUUUAUUUCCAUUCCAUAGGAAAGACCUCCUGAGUUGAUUGAUCUUUAUGACAAUGUCCUUUGGAAUAGGGAAUAGUUGAUUCCCAAAUCUGGACAAGUGCUUCAAAUCUAUUUUCCAACUCCAUCUUCAUAAAUUCCAAAAUAGUGCUAUAUUCUCUCCUUUGCAAAAAGUAUAACCGAACAUAACCAUCUUCAACUCUUAACUUUAUAAAUUCCAAAUAAAGUGAAAAAUAUUUGAACCAAUGGCCAAAUGCCUAUUAAAUUAUAUUAAUUGAAAACUAAUCCAUGAAUCAUAGUAUUUAAGUGGAGAAAGAUAAAACAAUGGAUCUAGGUUUAUAUUGGAUAAUGGGGAGUUCUGGAUCAUCCCAAAGUUCUGGGGUUUUGUCCUAUGCCACUGUUCUUGAAGAGUUCCAGACAAUGAGCCGAAACUAGAAAUAUGAGAAAUUGUGUGCUGCAGCAGUCUAAAGACAAAAUCGAAUCUAUGAAGGCAAGACAGACAAGGACUUCGUUUCAGAAGGUGAUGAACAAUGUAUUGAGGCGAUCGAUGCACUCAAUUUUGGGUUUGCUCUCCAUAUUUCAGGGAUGAGAAAGCAAGCUUUGACCAGAAGAUUGUGUUUACACAAAGGUGAAAAGUGAAAACAAGCACUGUUCUCUUCACACAUUAAUGAUUGAUGCAGAUGGAGAUCUCUGCCAAAAAUGAUGGAAGGUUUCUGGUAGAGAUGAGGCCCUUUAGUUGCAUUUACUGGGCAGGGAGACUUCUGUUUUGUUAAGUGGUUGUGCAUCUAUAAGGGCUUUGGAUUUUCUACACUCUUUUGCCUAAUCAGGUGAUGGGUGAUGAGAAGAGAACAUUUUAGGUUCACAUAUGGGAAGACAUUUAGUCAAUGUCAGCAUCAGAAAGGGCUCUGUUAUAUUUGAAGUGGUUUUAGAUAUUGGAGCUGAUGGUGGGAAUGUCAGUUUGGGGAGCAAGAAGACCAUGGACGACAGCUGAAUAUGUGACCAUAAAAUUUAUUAUUGAGGUUAGUCUUGAAGGCUCUCAAUCAGAUACCUCAAUCUCCACCAUUCACUUUGGUGGAAGAAGGCACAACUUCAAGGAUGUGAUGGACGGGCUUGAGUUUCACCAUGUGCAAAAAGCUUGUCCAGAUUGCAGGUUCUCUAACGAACCAGCGCCAUAAGCUGUAGGAAGAAAACAACAGAUUAAGUCUUGCAGCGUUCCAUUACUAGAUCCAUAACAGGGGACUGUAACACUGCCUAGCAAAGUAAGGCACUUUUUUGUUUGUAGUUGUUCCUUUAAUUUUUGUCUGCUGGAUGCUGUAGUUAACAAUGGUGUAGAGUUACUCCGGCACUUGUGUUGAUAUUUCUAUUGUAAUGCCAAUAUAUUUCUAUUCUCUUCGGAAGUAGCUUCAGUAAUCAGUUUACUGCUUCUAUCUCCAUGCUCCUUGAGUAAUUUUAUUAUUAGUAAUCAUAGUUUUUGUUAAUAUUGCUUAGUUCUUUUCUUCCAUUCUAAUAAGUUCGUCUUUUCAUUUUUUAAGAGAUGAAAUGGGGCUAUCAUGGCCUCAUUUUCGCACUAUGUGAUCAUUGCAAAACAAAGUUUAAUUGCAAUUCGAACUCCUGUCUAUGUCAAAAGUAGUCAUUGCAAGGUGACAACAAAAUAUCUUUUUCAGUUUAGUUCUGUCCCUUGUUACAGAAUGUCACAUUGUUAUUUUCAACAUCUGUAUAACUGAUCUCUGUCUGGAAUGAUCUGAAAUGCUAAGCACCAAUUUACCACAGUAGUCUAGUUUCAAAAUUUAGCUCAAUACUCUCAUUAGAGUGUACUCUUUUUUUAAAUAUUCAUGUUUUGUUUUAGAUGUGCUAGGUUGCUUUGAUUUUGGAUCUCUCAUUUAUUUGUGAUGAUGUGUCCAUGUUUGAUGUUGCUGGUUUUUGAUGUUCCUUUUUCAUAUUCCUAUAUAAAAAAUGUGGAUAUUAAUUUUUCACGAGAAUCAUCACUUUUUUCGGAAUAAUUUCAUUUUUUUCAAAACCAAUGUUUGGUUAUAAAUUUCCAAAUCCAACUUAGAGUUGGAUUCCAAAUUUGGAAUAGUGAUCCAAACCUAUUUUCCAACUCUUGUCUUCAUAAAUUUCACAAAAAAAGUGCUCUAAUAUGUCCUUUGUAAAAAGUAUAACCAAACAUAACUCCAUCUUCGUAAAUUGCAAUAAAGUGAAAAAUCUUCGGGAUCUAUGACCAAACCCCUACGAUAUUACAAUGCAAAAGUAAUCCAUGAAUCAUAGUCAUAGAGAUAAAGAUUUCAAUAACAUCAAUCGCAAGUUUGAGCUCUGUACCAAGAAAAUUAUGCCUACGAUUAGGAUUGGUUCUUUCAAGUAAUGAUGAUUGAGUCUUGAGCUAUGACGAGAUGGAGAUAGUGGAAGUAGUUUCUGAUCAGGUGGCUGUGACUUUGUCCCAUGCAACUGUUCUUGAUGAGUCUCAGUCAAUGAGGGAGAAAAGUAGAAUUGAGAAAUUGUGUGCUGCAGCAGGCUAAAGACUAGAUAGAAUGCUAUGAAGGCAAGCCAGACAAGGACUUCGUUUCAGAAGCAAUGGAAUGAGGCAGACGGUGCACUCAAUUUUGUGUUUGCUCUCCAUAUUUCAAGAUGAGAAAGCAAGCUUUUACCAGAAGUUUUUUGUAAACACAAUGGUGAAAACACACUUUUCUCUCCAUAUUGACAGAUGUUGUGAUAGCAAUAUCUUCCAAAGAUAAGGCCUUCGGAUUUUCUACAGUUUUUCUUACUUCUUUGCCUAAUCAGGUGAUGGGCGAUGAGAAGAGAACAUUUUAUGUUUGUUACAUAUGGUAGGACAUUUGUUAAAUGUCAGCAUUGGAAAGGGCUCUGUUAUAUUUGGAGUGGUUUUAGAGACUGGAGCUGAUUGUGGGAAUGACAGUUUGGGUUACAAGAAAAUGAUUCACAACAGAUGAAUAUGUGGCCAUAUAAUUAUAUAUUGAGGUUAGUUUUGAAGGCUUUUAAUCAGAUAGCUCAAUCUCCACCAUUCAUUUGUGUGGAAGAAGGCGUAACUUUCAGGGAGGUGAUGAAGGGCUGGAGUUUUAGCAUUUGCAAAAAGAUUGUCCAGGUUAGAAUACAUGCUGUUGUUUUCCCGAUUGACCUUGUCAUUAUGUUCUUAUUUAAAUUGGUUUAUAUAGCUAACAAGUAUCUGUUGAUGACUGUUGUCUUGAUCAUGUAUAAGUACUGUUCAUGGCUUGUGUGAUAUACAUACAUGCUGCCAUGUAGGUCUGAAAUUCAAUUUGUUUGGAUUUUCGGAUACCGAUUGAUUUUGGAUUUAACUUCUAAAAUAUUCAGAUUUUAGAUUUCUGACUUUGGAUUUUCGGAUCUGAAAAUCUAGUUUUUUAAUACCUUAUAUUUAUCCUUGCAUAUUAGACAAGCCCAUGUACCCAAUAUAAAGUCCAGUGCCCUACUAAAUCAGUCAUUGUACCUUAUUAUGCUAAUGGAUAGUGCAAACUGAGUUUUAUUCACCGUGACUGUGCUUUUUAUUCUUAUUUGACGAGUUGUGGGUUUUGGCACUGGGUCCUUAUGGAAGCAUGUUAAUUGAUAUUUAAAUCACAUAGAACAUAUAAGUAUUGAGUAAUGUUGAAUUGAAUAUGAACUGUUAGUAGUAUGAUCUAUCUAUACAUGAUUUUACUUUGUUAAGAUUCGAAAUUUCUUUUAUAGUGGUUUCAUUGUUUGAAUGAAUAUUCUAUUUGGAUGAUUGUCGUGUGAAUGAGAAAUCAUUAAAGACAAUGUGACAUGAAUACUUUACUAGGAUGUUUAUUUUUGCAAAAAGAAGCUUCACUUACAAUCUCAACACCAAAAUCUGCAAUAAUCAAACGGUGUAAUCUGAAACUGGACUUGCGCAAACUGAUCAAUCAAACUUAGUUGGUAUGAUCACCUACCCAGUAUCUUACCCCCCCCCCCCCCACAACCACAACCACCACCAAAAAAAAAAAAAAAGAAGAGGAAGAGGAACUUGAUAUAAAUGAAAAUUUGACUUCCCUCUUUUCUUAUCGACCAUUACUUCGUUGAAAGAUCUCAGAAUAAAUGCAGCUUGAGGACUUCUUUUUUUUUCAAGCAGGAGAUGGUUCUUUAAUUACUGUUCAUCUGUAAAUCUUUAGGUAAAGAAGUCUCUAGGAUGCAAUAUGAGGUUUUAAAAAAGAAGAAAUAUCAGGAAAAGACGAUUCCAAAAAAAAAGAAAUAUCAGGAAAAGAAUAAAAAAAUACUAAAGGGAUGAAAAGCAAGCAAGAAAGCUUAUGAACUAAAAUUGAAAGAUUGAUAUAUUUCACUGCAGUCAAAGGAUACAAUUUUUAAUAAAAGUACUCACGUCUAAAAUAUAAAUAAGCAAAAGAUGUGCUGAAAAUACCAAAUUCAUGAAGUCUAGAAAAUACUCUUUACUCAAAAUUCAAAUA